rnacentral:rRNA from 1 species
UAAGGAAUAUUGGUCAAUGGACGCAAGUCUGAACCAGCCAUGCCGCGUGGAGGAUGAAGGUCCUCUGGAUUGUAAACUUCUUUUAUAGGGGGCGAAACACUAUUUUUCUAAAUAGCUUGACGGUACCCUAUGAAUAAGCACCGGCUAACUCCGUGCCAGCAGCCGCGGUAAUACGGAGGGUGCAAGCGUUAUCCGGAUUCACUGGGUUUAAAGGGUGCGUAGGUGGGUUGAUAAGUCCGUGGUGAAAUCUCCGAGCUUAACUCGGAAACUGCCGUGGAUACUAUCAGUCUUGAAUAUUGUGGAGGUUAGCGGAAUAUGUCAUGUAGCGGUGAAAUGCUUAGAUAUGACAUAGAACACCAAUUGCGAAGGCAGCUGGCUACACAUAUAUUGACACUGAGGCACGAAAGCGUGGGGAUCAAACA